AAAAAAUGCAAUAGGGUGGUUGUUGAAUCUGCAUAGAAUUACUUCAUAUAUCCAGCAUGACUAAUUUAAAUUUCACAUCUAAACAUAUUUUUGUCUUUUAAUUUUCACAUAUUCUUUAAGAAUAUUCAUUCUUUUAGAACAAAUCAUGUUGAAAAGAAACAAGUUAGUCGUGUUUUAUCCUCAAGCUCCGCCCCCUGGAAAGGAAAAAUCGGCUGCACUGUCCGCCAUUUUUGUCUCUCGCUUUGGAAAAUCUACUACCAUCUGGAGUUUUACACUUGAAGGUAAAUAAGAUUUUAAAGCUAACACACCAGUGAGAAAGAGUGUAGACCCUUUAUAUAUGUGGACUUUUACUGGGUGUUGUUAUUUUACAGGUAUGUGGGCUGUUUAUCGAAAACCAUGAAAGGCCAAUGUUAGCUAGCUCCAGUUAGCUAAUGGUAACCGAAAUUAUGCGAUAAGCAAAUUAGUAAUUAACAUAUAUAAUGUGAGUUAAUAUUGUUUGUAUAUUCUUUCAGUCUAAAUUAACAGACUAUUACAAACUUGCAUCAGUGUCUGUAGUAAGUGGUGGUACCUGCAGUGUCUUAACCAUUAAACAAGCUAAUGUAGGGCUGGGAUAUGACUAGUUUGUUGAAACAUGUCUGCUGCCAAUGUGACUGCUCACACACGGUAACAUUACCAGCACAUAGCCACAGCCGCUAUAAACAUGCUGAAAGGUCAAUCUAGCUUCUGUAGUCAGCAGCUGGAAGACUCAACACAGACCCAAGAUUCAGUGUAACGGUUAUCUAAAUGUUGUGUGUCCUGUUUGUAAGCCCAGAAAAAGAAAUUAAAUAAAAUGACGACCUUGAGCUUCAAGCUAAUGUAAGCGUAAUGCUAUAGCAUAAAGCGACUAAUGCAAUGAUGAGGUUGUUAAAUUAGUAAAAAUACAGUAAAUAUAUCCAACAUGAAUCAUUUAUCUUUUUGGUCUAAACAUAAUUAAGUCUCACGCCUUUCACUUGUUUUAGAAGGAUGUUCAGUCUUUUAAAACCAGUCAUAUCAAAAUAACAGAAAAUAGUUAUGUUUUCUGUUGAAACUCCACCCCCCAGGGUGUGUUCUGCGAGGGAAAAUUCACUGUGGCGGUCCGCCAUUUUUUGUCUUCGCUUCGUUUACAUUUGGUGCUGAGCUUUACUUUGUCGAGAUAAAUGCAGAGUUUAAGCGCAUUACCACCAUGCCACUGCAGUCCAGAUUACUCUCGCAGAUAGAUGUGCUAUCUGACAAACUAAUAAAGGUCUUCAAAAGGCGAGGAGGACAAAUAGGAAGAAGACUGCAGAACAUUCUGGAGCCCACGGCCCAGGCCACAGAUGAAGCCAUUAUCCAACGAUCUAAUAAGGAAACAACCAUGGGAAUUUACAUCAUAAAGUCAAGAGAUGCCAAUGGCAGCCCUGAGGACAUCGGGAUAGUCCUUGAAGGCCAGAGAGUCUGGCAGGAUUUGGAUAACUAUACCCUAGCAGCUGCAAUGCUGUUUGGACUAAUGUACACUUUGAACCUCACCUACCCACUGGAAAAGUAUACCUUCGAGGUAUUAUAGAAACUGGUUAUGGAGCUCAAAAGGAACAGCCUUUCAAAGAAGGCCCAGGUUUUCAGGACCAGACUGUACGAUUGAACAGUUUUCCAGUUAUGAUGUGGGAACAACAUGUUUACCUCUUCGAAUAUGUACCAUCCUUUCUUUUAAGCCAGCACUGGUAAAGUUGCAGUACAUAGUGAAACUUAUUUUUCUGGCACUUUUCAACUUGGGGCCUUUAUUACUGCAGUUUUCACUUUUCAAGCCAUGGCUCUUUUAAAAAAAAAAUUCAAACUUUGAAUGUCCAUUUUUCUCAAUGGAAAUGGUGCCUUGCACCAAUUUCACCAGUUUGCAAUUUUUUUCCCAAGGUGCACCACUACAAACAGAUUGCAUCGUCUAGUAUUAGUGGUUGUGAUGUUUAGUGAUAGAAGCAAGCCAAUACUAAUCAGUUUAGGUCUCUUGGUUUUGUGCCUGUGGGUUAUAAUGUUAUUUUAAGUCUCUUCUUUGUGUCAUUUUAAUAAUUACACCCCUGUUGCCAUAUUACCUUAUGGCUCUUACAUUUAAAAAACUAUUUUUUACAUAAGCGCGAUGUCAUAAGGCCCCACAAUGUUGAAUUCAGGUUACAGAAGAUAACUUUGAGGAAUGUUGUGGAAUGUUUUUCAAGAGAUGCAUUGUACAAAUAUGACUCAUGUAUAUUUUGGAAGCCUGAAUUGAAAGUCCAUUUUUACAACUGUGUAGUAUUUUCAAAAAUACAGGUCAUUGUUCAAAAAUGUUUUGCUUAUUUCUUUGAUUGAGAGAAAGUGUACAGUACAUACAGUAAGAUCAGCCUUAAUUUAGUUUUAUUUAUUGAACACUCAAUUAUAUAUUAGAUUAUAUAUUAGAAAUUUGUUAUAAAAUAAAAUAAGCUUACCAUAAAAUAAUCUUGUCAAUAUAACAUAUAGUAGUCCAAUACAAUUAACACAAAAAGUUCAUGUCUGAUAAACAAGUGGUUUCUAUAAAUAUUUGACCGGAAUGAAAAACAUAACAACAACAUAAAAAAGUCAUGUUCGUGUUACCAGAAAAAUGUGUGCAGGUAUAACAUAAAAAACUAAGGUUAACCAAACAUAACUUAAUUUCGUGCAACCGCUUACAAUAAUUUUUUUAUGUUUAUCCCACUGAUUAUUUUUUUCAGUGUACG